rnacentral:rRNA from 1 species
GGGUUGUGAGGUUAAGCGACUAAGCGUACACGGUGGAUGCCCUGGCAGUCAGAGGCGAUGAAGGACGUGCUAAUCUGCGAUAAGCGCCGGUAAGGUGAUAUGAACCGUUAUAACCGGCGAUUUCCGAAUGGGGAAACCCAGUGUGUUUCGACACACUAUCAUUACGUGAAUACAUAGCGUAAUGAAGCGAACCGGGGGAACUGAAACAUCUAAGUACCCCGAGGAAAAGAAAUCAACC